rnacentral:rRNA from 1 species
GAACGAACGGCUGGCGGCGUGGAUAAGACAUGCAAGUCGGACGCUUGAUUUUGUAGCAAUAUGAGGAUACGGGAGUGGCGAAAGGGUGCGUAACACGUGGGUAAUUGUCUGAGAGUUCAGGAUAAUUCGCUGAAAGGCGGAGUAAUACUGGAUGUGGAUAUUGGCUGGGAACGGCUGAUAUCUAAAGCCGGGGACCGCAAGGCCUGGUGCUCUUAGGUAAGCCCGCGACCUAUCAGCUAGUUGGUGAGGUAAGAGCCCACCAAGGCGGAGACGGGUAGCUGGUCUGAGAGGACGACCAGCCACACUGGAACUGAGACACGGUCCAGACACCUACGGGUGGCAGCAGUCGAGAAUUUUUCUCAAUGGGGGAAACCCUGAAGGAGCGACGCCGCGUGGGGGAUGAAAAGGGCUUCGGCUCGUAAACCCCUGUCAUUUGUGAGCAAGUGUUAUUGUUUAAGAGAUGAUGACAUUGAUAGUAGCAAAAGAGGAAGGGACGGCUAACUCUGUGCCAGCCGCCGC